ensembl:lncRNA
CCUCGUUUUGAUAGUCUCACUCAUGGCCGAUCAGUGUGUUCUUUCUGAUUAGCUCUUAAUUGAGAUCACCUGUCACGCACCCCUUUAUUAAAGGUGAACACAAUGGGUUUGGUUUACUUUUCGCAUCGGCCUGUGUCAAUCGAGGUUGAGUUUAGUGAGGGUUGAAAGUUUUCGAUCUAGAUUGCAGCACACUGUCACUUUAUAGAAACUGAAAGUAUGCGUUGUUGCGUGUUUGUUUUUGUGGGCAUUUGACUGAACAGCCCAGACAAAUAUUGCUACCAACAUGGCACUUCGAAACAGACCACCGCAGUGUUAGAUGACUGACAAGAUCUAUGGGGGGGCCCCCUUUGGGCCCCCCCAUACCAACUUAGUCUUCAAAGGAAUCUACAGCCAUGGGACUCCAGUGUCUUCAAAACAUCCUCGGAAUACAUGUGUAUGAAUGGUCCACCGAAGGGUUGAUCUGGAAGCCACCACGGUCCACGCAGUAAUCUGCUGCGUGGGCCGUAGUGGCUUCCAGAGCCAUCUUUCGGUCUUGGUCAGGAUUUGUUACAGUUGCCCUUCAAUGUAGCAGGCUACGGGUUUCUGAAGAAGCCUGUUUUACGUAGCAUUGGAGUACAAAUAUUGUGCAAAAUGCUCAUGUAAUUGCACUAGCACUGGUAACCUGUAGACUAGCUUAGUUUAACGUCAUUCGGUGCUGUCUGUCAAAUGUGUGGCUUACUUUAAGUCCACAAGGCCCUCUGGUAAACCACGUUGGAAAACCCCUGGACAAGGUGAUUAGUCACUGGGUGUGUGCUAAAGUUUUGUUCCAUUUUUCACUAGUUGGUUAAGGUUUGGUAGAAUUGUUUGGAUGCUAGCGACGUGAUGGCGUAUGUACAAGAGCCUACCGUGGCCAGGCCACAGUUGCGACGGCCACGGCCAGAUGGCCUAGUGUGAGUGCAACCUUGAUUGCAUUUGUAUACUGUUUACCAUUGGAUGUUUAUGCAAUUUGGCUUAAUUCAUCCGCUGUAAAGCUGCAUUUGACUAUUCCAGGGUCGUUUUGUACAGGCUUUCAAUUGACCAUGUUGACUAGUUUGUGGAAAGUAGUUGUUUUUUUUAAUUUUUUUACCCUUGCUUACAAUCCAACGGUUGCGACCACUUAUGCAACUGGGCUGUGAACCUUGCAAUUCUAGUUGCAUAUUUGUACACGCAAGCUUGUCCAUUUCUAUCGCCAUCACUAACACUAGCUUCAGCAUUUCCUUGUAGGCCAUUAGCUGACUUGUGUAUUGGAGUGAUGAUUUGGGUAUUUUAAGAUGCUUGAAAACCUAAAAUAAAGCAUUUUCUAACUAGGGGGACUUGACUGAGUCUACUGGAUUAAUCAGUAGCGGUACUUUGCCCAACAGAUUAGAUGGCAUGACUACAGGAUGACAAAGACAAUUAUUCCCUGCCUAUCAAAAGAGACUUCUAAAACAUAUCUGCUAGAACAGUUCCUAUACUUUUUGUAUAAUUUGGUCAUGCUGCAAAUUUACUUUUUGUAGUUGCUCCAUAUUUAGUUCUUUGACGGCCUCACCUGCUAGAAAAGUCUAUUCAAAUCGGCUAAAUAUAAUGAACUAAAUUAAUGGCCAUGAAAUGUUGUCACCCAUACUAAUGGCAAAUACCCCCUUUCAGUUGGUGGUUCAACACUGAUGUCUCUCUAGGCUUGAGGGAGAGCUCACACGAAUGUCCUGGAGCAAUUGUGAAUACACUUUUAUUUAGUCUACCUGACCAGGGACAUCUUUGAACUAUAGGUCACCUAACCCAAACUUUUCACUCUUGUUAGGUUGUCCUUUUCUCUUGUUUUAACCCGAAAGGGCUGAAAAUAUCAACAUUUCAGGUAUUCUGUUUUGAUAAUGUGCAAAACUUGUGGCUUCACUAAUUAAAAAAAUUAACGAAUGUAUUUUUCUUAAUGUGGUUAAACUAUUUAAAGAUUUGUAUGCAAAAUAUUUCUGCUCAAUUUGUGGUCAAUGAAACUCAAAAUUUUUUAAUUUGAUAAAACGCAACUAUGGGUUAAAGGUAUUUGCUUUGGGCAUCUUUUGAUAUUUUUAGAAUCUAGCUCCAUUGCCGUUAGAAAUGGUGUCUCCCAGUACUGCAAAGUGCUUCCACAAGUUUAAAAAAUGGGCAGAAAAGGAACUGCCAACUAAAUCUAUUUAACAUGGGUAGAAAGUUUCCAUGGAAGCUCUUGGCUGCUGGUUCCCAACACAGCUCCACUGUUAGCCUGUGACCUUGCGUUUAACUUUUUUGGACUUUUGGUGACUUUCACAAAAGAAAUGAACCGGUUAAAACAACAAUUUGAAACUUCAGCUACAUUUUUAUCUAUUUGUACUGCCUUUGAUUUCAACCCGUGACAUGUUUGUCAGGUGAUAACUAUGUACCUGUGACCGCAUAUCAUGGUACCAUUUUGAACUGUUUGUGGAUAUUGCAUUAAAUCCAUAUGCUUAACUUUUCAAAUCAACGAAACAAUGGAAUGAAAUAAAUAGUUCAAGCAAUUUGUGGGACUUGGCUGCUUUUACAUUAUUACUCAUUUUGGGGGUUAUUUCAGUCUCUCCAACCUGCAGGUCGUGCGAAGAAUCAUAAUGGGAAUAUUCUAUAAAUGUCUUUAUCAUCUUUCGUCUCAACACUUCUGC